CCCUCCUGGCAAUGGGCAAAGAGACACCUGGGUGGUGGUGGUGUUCUUAUAACAGUCAGGGGCAGAGCAGAUGCAAGCCUUUCCCCAUCCUAGUUUGAUGCAUGGUUUGGCGGCCAAAGCUGCUUUAUGACUAGGACACAUAG